AGGGUGACGGACCACUGGACUGAGACACGGUCAGUCUACGGGAGGCAGCAGUAGGGAAUAUUGCUCAAUGGGGGAAACCUGAAGCAGCAACGCGCGUGGAGGAUGAAGGUUUUAGGAUUGUAAACUCCUUUUGUUAGAGAAGAUUAUGACGGUAUCUAACGAAUAAGCACCGGCUAACUCCGUGCCAGCAGCGCGGUAAUACGGAGGGUGCAAGCGUUACUCGGAAUCACUGGGCGUAAAGAGUGCGCAGGCGGGAUAGCAAGUCAGAUGUGAAAUGCUAUGGCUUAACCAUAGAACUGCAUUUGAAACUGUUAUUCUA
rnacentral:rRNA from 1 species